rnacentral:ncRNA from 2 species
GAAGAGUGUAAAUUUGCAAGUGGUUCCAUGGACUGGUCCUGGAACCUGAAAAGGGAAAACAGUGAAACUCUGUUGCGGUCCCGCCGCCGUGAAUGGUGACCCGCUCUGCUCAAAGCCACUGUGAUAUCAUGGGAAGGCGCAGAGGGGGGAUGACCCUGAGCCGGAAGACCUGCUUGCAAACAGGUGGUUCU